rnacentral:rRNA from 1 species
ACUAAGCGUACACGGUGGAUGCCCUGGCAGUCAGAGGCGAUGAAGGACGUGCUAAUCUGCGAUAAGCGUCGGUAAGGUGAUAUGAACCGUUAUAACCGGCGAUUUCCGAAUGGGGAAACCCAGUGUGUUUCGACACACUAUCAUUAACUGAAUCCAUAGGUUAAUGAGGCGAACCGGGGGAACUGAAACAUCUAAGUACCCCGAGGAAAAGAAAUCAACCGAGAUUCCCCCAGUAGCGGCGAGCGAACGGGGAGGAGCCCAGAGCCUGAAUCAGUGUGUGUGUUAGUGGAAGCGUCUGGAAAGGCGCGCGAUACAGGGUGACAGCCCCGUACACAAAAAUGCACAUACUGUGAGCUCGAUGAGUAGGGCGGGACACGUGGUAUCCUGUCUGAAUAUGGGGGGACCAUCCUCCAAGGCUAAAUACUCCUGACUGACCGAUAGUGAACCAGUACCGUGAGGGAAAGGCGAAAAGAACCCCGGCGAGGGGAGUGAAAAAGAACCUGAAACCGUGUACGUACAAGCAGUGGGAGCACGCUUAGGCGUGUGACUGCGUACCUUUUGUAUAAUGGGUCAGCGACUUAUAUUCUGUAGCAAGGUUAACCGAAUAGGGGAGCCGAAGGGAAACCGAGUCUUAACUGGGCGUUAAGUUGCAGGGUAUAGACCCGAAACCCGGUGAUCUAGCCAUGGGCAGGUUGAAGGUUGGGUAACACUAACUGGAGGACCGAACCGACUAAUGUUGAAAAAUUAGCGGAUGACUUGUGGCUGGGGGUGAAAGGCCAAUCAAACCGGGAGAUAGCUGGUUCUCCCCGAAAGCUAUUUAGGUAGCGCCUCGUGAAUUCAUCUCCGGGGGUAGAGCACUGUUUCGGCAAGGGGGUCAUCCCGACUUACCAACCCGAUGCAAACUGCGAAUACCGGAGAAUGUUAUCACGGGAGACACACGGCGGGUGCUAACGUCCGUCGUGAAGAGGGAAACAACCCAGACCGCCAGCUAAGGUCCCAAAGUCAUGGUUAAGUGGGAAACGAUGUGGGAAGGCCCAGACAGCCAGGAUGUUGGCUUAGAAGCAGCCAUCAUUUAAAGAAAGCGUAAUAGCUCACUGGUCGAGUCGGCCUGCGCGGAAGAUGUAACGGGGCUAAACCAUGCACCGAAGCUGCGGCAGCGACGCUUAUGCGUUGUUGGGUAGGGGAGCGUUCUGUAAGCCUGCGAAGGUGUGCUGUGAGGCAUGCUGGAGGUAUCAGAAGUGCGAAUGCUGACAUAAGUAACGAUAAAGCGGGUGAAAAGCCCGCUCGCCGGAAGACCAAGGGUUCCUGUCCAACGUUAAUCGGGGCAGGGUGAGUCGACCCCUAAGGCGAGGCCGAAAGGCGUAGUCGAUGGGAAACAGGUUAAUAUUCCUGUACUUGGUGUUACUGCGAAGGGGGGACGGAGAAGGCUAUGUUGGCCGGGCGACGGUUGUCCCGGUUUAAGCGUGUAGGCUGGUUUUCCAGGCAAAUCCGGAAAAUCAAGGCUGAGGCGUGAUGACGAGGCACUACGGUGCUGAAGCAACAAAUGCCCUGCUUCCAGGAAAAGCCUCUAAGCAUCAGGUAACAUCAAAUCGUACCCCAAACCGACACAGGUGGUCAGGUAGAGAAUACCAAGGCGCUUGAGAGAACUCGGGUGAAGGAACUAGGCAAAAUGGUGCCGUAACUUCGGGAGAAGGCACGCUGAUAUGUAGGUGAAGCGACUUGCUCGUGGAGCUGAAAUCAGUCGAAGAUACCAGCUGGCUGCAACUGUUUAUUAAAAACACAGCACUGUGCAAACACGAAAGUGGACGUAUACGGUGUGACGCCUGCCCGGUGCCGGAAGGUUAAUUGAUGGGGUUAGCGCAAGCGAAGCUCUUGAUCGAAGCCCCGGUAAACGGCGGCCGUAACUAUAACGGUCCUAAGGUAGCGAAAUUCCUUGUCGGGUAAGUUCCGACCUGCACGAAUGGCGUAAUGAUGGCCAGGCUGUCUCCACCCGAGACUCAGUGAAAUUGAACUCGCUGUGAAGAUGCAGUGUACCCGCGGCAAGACGGAAAGACCCCGUGAACCUUUACUAUAGCUUGACACUGAACAUUGAGCCUUGAUGUGUAGGAUAGGUGGGAGGCUUUGAAGUGUGGACGCCAGUCUGCAUGGAGCCGACCUUGAAAUACCACCCUUUAAUGUUUGAUGUUCUAACGUUGACCCGUAAUCCGGGUUGCGGACAGUGUCUGGUGGGUAGUUUGACUGGGGCGGUCUCCUCCUAAAGAGUAACGGAGGAGCACGAAGGUUGGCUAAUCCUGGUCGGACAUCAGGAGGUUAGUGCAAUGGCAUAAGCCAGCUUGACUGCGAGCGUGACGGCGCGAGCAGGUGCGAAAGCAGGUCAUAGUGAUCCGGUGGUUCUGAAUGGAAGGGCCAUCGCUCAACGGAUAAAAGGUACUCCGGGGAUAACAGGCUGAUACCGCCCAAGAGUUCAUAUCGACGGCGGUGUUUGGCACCUCGAUGUCGGCUCAUCACAUCCUGGGGCUGAAGUAGGUCCCAAGGGUAUGGCUGUUCGCCAUUUAAAGUGGUACGCGAGCUGGGUUUAGAACGUCGUGAGACAGUUCGGUCCCUAUCUGCCGUGGGCGCUGGAGAACUGAGGGGGGCUGCUCCUAGUACGAGAGGACCGGAGUGGACGCAUCACUGGUGUUCGGGUUGUCAUGCCAAUGGCACUGCCCGGUAGCUAAAUGCGGAAGAGAUAAGUGCUGAAAGCAUCUAAGCACGAAACUUGCCCCGAGAUGAGUUCUCCCUGACUCCUUGAGAGUCCUGAAGGAACGUUGAAGACGACGACGUUGAUAGGCCGGGUGUGUAAGCGCAGCGAUGCGUUGAGCUAACCGGUACUAAUGAACCGUGAGGCUUAACC